GGGCUUACUGUUUUUAACAUUUUUAUUUUCUUUUCAAGAUAGCAUGAUUAACUAACAAGCUAUUUAAGGAAAGUAAAUAAUUUAAGGAAAAAUACAGAAAGGAUAAAUAUGGAUAAUUACCGAUUUUACCUUUCGGCGAGGGUUCAAUGAUUUAAGUCUUCUGAACAAGACUUCUCACCGUGUUCAUUCUUUAGGUGCGUCAUUUGAUUCAGGUGUGGACCAUGAUGUCGCACCUCUUGAUACGGUGUCACCCAUGUUCUUCGUUUGCCCAGCAGUUCGAAGUGCGGC
rnacentral:lncRNA from 1 species